rnacentral:rRNA from 1 species
CAGUAGCCGCGGGAAUACGGAGGGUGCAAGCGUUAACCGGAAUUACUGGGCGUAAAGCGUGCGUAGGCGGUUCGUUAAGUCUGUUGUGAAAGCCCCGGGCUCAACCUGGGAAUGGCAAUGGAUACUGGCGAGCUAGAGUGUGUCAGAGGAUGGUGGAAUUCCCGGUGUAGCGGUGAAAUGCGUAGAGAUCGGGAGGAACAUCAGUGGCGAAGGCGGCCAUCUGGGACAACACUGACGCUGAGGCACGAAAGCGUGGGGAGCAAACAGGAUUAGAUACCCCUGUAGUCCCUGUCUCUUAUAC